rnacentral:lncRNA from 1 species
UUUACAUAACUAAAGAGGAACAAUAUUGCAAGACACAUAUUCAUGCGUUUCUCGAAUCGACCCCACCCCCAAACGAAACUCGACGAUGAUAAAGGAAGAAAGAAACCAAAAGAGGAGAUGAAUCAGGAUGCAGCAUCACCUAGGCCUUGGUCGAGAUGAAAAUGACCACACUGGUCGACACCUUACUGAGUUUAUUUCUUUACAUAACUAGAGAGGAACGAUAUCGAGAGACAAAUAUUCAUUCGUUACUCGAAUGGCCCCACCCCCAAACGAAACUCAAUCAUGAUAAAGGAAGAAAGAAACCAAAACGGGAGAUGCAUCAUAAUGCAGCAUCACCUCGGCCUAGGUCGAGAUGAAAAUGACCACACUGGUCGAAGAAGCCUUUGAGCUGAAGGACUGCCUAACAAUGUGGCCUGAGAACGAGUAACCAUCUCGAGCAUUGAAGGGGUUUGAUAGGCCUGAACUAGGCUUGAACCAUCAGUGGAAUCGCCUC